rnacentral:rRNA from 1 species
GUAGGUGGCAAGCGUUGUCCGGAAUUAUUGGGCGUAAAGCGCGCGCAGGCGGUUCUUUAAGUCUGAUGUGAAAGCCCACGGGCUCAACCGUGGAGGGUCAUUGGAAACUGGAGAACUUGAGUACAGAAGAGGAAAGCGGAAUUCCACGUGUAGCGGUGAAAUGCGUAGAGAUGUGGAGGAACACCAGUGGCGAAGGCGGCUUUCUGGUCUGUAACUGACGCUGAGGCGCGAAAGCGUGGGGAGCAAACGGGAUUAGAUACCCUGGUAGUCCACGCCGUAAACGAUGAGUGCUAAGUGUUAGGGGGUUUCCGCCCCUUAGUGCUGCAGCUAACGCAUUAAGCACUCCGCCUGGGGAGUACGGCCGCAAAGGCUG